AAAAUCGCGUCGAGAGACUCGGGUCAGUGUUUCCAGCGCAGAGACUGCCCGUAUGGCCUCCGCUUGUGUUCACUUAAACCGAUGGCUGCGCUCCACCUGCUUGUGGUAUUUUGAAGGGUGUGACAAUCUGCGCUGCGCAUCUAGACCCGCGUGCUCCCGCUUCCUUGCCUCGGCCGGUGCCUGGACGUCAGGCGCCCCUCGCCUCCCCUCCUUACCGGGGUGACAUCCUGGUGUCCGGUCUCAGUCGCGGGUCCUCUCGUUGAGCUUGAUCAUUGCUGGCCUCUGGACAGCCGCAGCCUCAGCCCAGGUCUUCCUCCCGCUGGGCACCACCUUCCGGCGCACCCCUGAGGUGCCCACCCAGGCCACCCCAAGAGGCCGCUCCACCCGGCAUGAGUGAGAACGGGACGGCAGAAUUUGAAGUUAACGGAUUGGGCUUUUAACCCUGGUGGCCUGUUCUGCGGGACGGGGCUACACUGUCACAUUUGGAAGGAAUUGCAAGGAGUAGGUUCUUGUUUGCAAGGCGAUUGGGCAGUAGCUUUUAAAACUGUGCGCAGAGAGUAACGCUUCUUUGUUGAUAGCCACGUUUAUUACAGAGGUGUGGACCGAGGCGCUCUCGGCAGCAUGGUCUUCACUGGCAGAAUACUUACAGACCGAAAAUGCUCGCCAGUUGGCAAAAUUUUAAUGCUGGUAUGCAUCGGAUAUUGCAUAUACUGCAGCAGUUUAAAAAGACUAAGGGACGGCUGCAUCACCCACGGUUCACCAAGAACAGUCUGAUUUCUAACUCCUGGGCCCAGCCUCUCCUGUCCAGGCACAGAGCUCUCCAAAAGUGAGCACUGUGUGGCCCUUCGGCCGGCUUGUCGUGCAGAGCGACAACACGCAGUGUUGGUGAACUGAUUCACACCAGACACAACCACGUCCGUUUGUCACCAAGCGCACACGUUUUCCGUGCAAUUUCUCUGUGCUCCGAUUGGCCCCCCAG
rnacentral:lncRNA from 1 species